GCCUGGCUAGUUCACUUGAUAGAACAUGUGACUCUUGAUCUCAGGGUUGUGAGUUUGAGCCCCACGUUGGGCA
rnacentral:tRNA from 1 species